AGCUGGUGUUACUGAGUAAAUUUGAGUGUUAAAUGUCAAUGUAAGCUAACGGCCAAGAUAGGGACCACUGCAGGGUGGUUACUUGCAGCUGUGACUCAACUGGUCCUUCACUGCCAAACAUACCUGGGGUUGGAUCAUUGGCCUGACGUUUGCAAAUUGAGGAACCUUAGGGCAAAUCAAUGAACUUCUGAACUGCCUUCGUCUUCAGUUAUAUGGGGAUUUCCCCACUUUUGAGGUACUUGUAAGGAUUAUAUGAGAUGAAGAGAUGAGACAAGGUAUAUAAAAGUCCUAGCACAGAGCGUGUCAUAUAAUAUGGCUUCACAAGUACCCUCAUCUCCUUUCCAGUCGUUUUUUGUUUUUGUUUUUGUUUUUUUGAGACCAUCUCACUCUGUUGCCCAGGCUGGAGUGCCUCUUCAUUUUUAUUUCUUUAUUCAGCAAGUAUUGAUCAAAUGUGCUUUGUACCAGGUACUGAGCUCUUCGUUGGGAUAUAAUGGUGAUCAAGGAGAUUGUAGAUUCUGGCAGGGAAAACUGACAUCAAACACGGCGACCCGACAUAGUGAGACCCUGUCUCUACUAGAAGAACUUUAAAAAUCACCUAGGCAUGAGCCACCACGCCAGGCUGGUAGCAGUCUUUCCUAGAAUGUGGAUGCCUUGGAAAACAGGGGCUCUGCCUUGUUUCCCUAGAACCUAGAAUGGCAUCUGGCACACAGCAGAUGCUACAUCUAUUGUAAAUGAAUGAAUGAAAGAAGUGUCCUUGCAGCCACACUGGCAGCCGUAACAUAGUGGUUAUAAAUCUAGACUCUGGAGUCUCAAGUGCAAAUGUCAUUGGCCUCUCCUCCAGCCUCCUCAAGGGGCACUCAAUGACUGGAAGCGCCCUGAUAUGACUGUGGUUGGACUGACAUGACUGCCAGAUGGUGGGACUUGGUCUGGAGCAGAGACUACUUGGAAUGGUAGAGGCAAAACUCAACAGCCCCUGGAGCUGCGCUUGUGGUGGAGCUGGACCCUGAUUUUAGCUGGACCUUGUUUUUAGAGACAGGGUUUCCUUCUGCAGUCUCAAUCUCCUAGCCUUGAUUGAUCCUCCUGCCUUGGCCUCCCAAAGUGCUGGGACUACAGGUGCAUGCAACCACACCUGGCUAAUUUUCUUCUCUUCUUUCUUUUUUUUUUUUUUUUUGAUGGAGUCUUGUUCUGUUGCCCAGGCUGGAGUGCAAUGGUGCCAUCUCGGCUCACUGCAACCUCUGCCUCCCGGGUUCAAUCCAUUCUCCUGCCUCAGCCUCCCAAGUAGCUGGGACUACAGGUGUGUGCCACCGUGCCUGGCUAAUUUUUGUAUUUUUAGUAGGGAUGAGACUUCACCAU
rnacentral:lncRNA from 1 species